UGCCCCACAUUCUGCCUGUGCUGUACUUUUCCUCACCCAAGUUUGGCUUGUUUAAUCCCAUUUUUAGAAGGGCGGAACAUGGGCAUUCAAACACUUGAGAUGGGGAAAUCCCACUGUCAGAGGCAGCAUAGCAAUGGUUGAGUAAUUUGAGGAGCAAGUUCCAUCACCAACAACAGCAACUCUUUCUCUGGUACCCUGUUUGAGUUUCCUCAGGCUUCUGUUCUUUGAUAAACGACUGCAAUAGUCUUCUGUAAAGGGUAAAGUGAAUUUCAGAUUAAAAGUACUCAAACAGAUGACUGAAGCACUCUGAACUUUAAAGCCAAACCUUUUGAACAAAUUUUGGUGCUGCAAGAGGUGGCACCUUGGUGGCUUUAAGAUAAUCACAGCUCCACUUGUGGCAACUUACUUUAGCAACCCCUUGCAGCUGCUCAGCCCCAGGUGAGAUCUGUGGCCUUCAGCUGCUUUUACAGGUUUGCUGGACUGGCAAGAAGCAUUGGUGAUGCAAGCAGCAGAUGGGACAGGACUGUUCCCUGGGAGACCACUGCAGGUAUAAGGAACUGGAGCAACCUCCCAGAAGAAGAUAUCUCUGCAUCUUUCUUAUGCUUGUGAAACAGACCCCUAGGCCUGACUAAUCCCACUGAGGGCUGGGUGAAUCCACAGAGCAUAUCUGAGUCUCUUUUGAAAAGUCACCAGCAGAUGAAGUAAUUUGAGGCCUCACCCACAGUUUAUUCAGCCAGCUGCAUAGGUCUCUUAACAGAGGUGCUUUUUAAUACAGCAUGUCAAGUGUUGAGAAAUACCACUUUGAUUUUGACAUACUCCCCACCAAGGAUGAUGUGUUUUCUGUUAUGCCUUGUUGUCAAGGUGAAGAAAUGAAUUAGCAUGGAUUUUUAAUUGAUUCAGUGUUGAACUCUGAUAUAAGCUGGAAGGGAAACAUCACCCUAGAUGAAUAAAGAGGUGGUGCAAGAGCUGAUCA
rnacentral:lncRNA from 1 species